GCUGAAGGGNNCCGCCCCCCUGGGANUGAAACNCGCCCCAAAUUCUNCGGGGGCANCAGGGGNAUUUUNCCCAAUGGGCCCNACCCUGAUGCAGCAACCCCCCUGAGGGAUGACGCCNUUCGGUUNUAANCCUUUUUANCAGGAAGAAGCGUGAGUGACCGUACCUGCAGAAAAGCNCCGGCUAANUACGUGCCAGCAGCCGCGGUAAUACGUAGGGCGCNAGCNUAUCCNGAAUUAUUGGGCGUAAAGAGCUCGUAGGCGGUUUGUCGCNUNUGCUGUGAAAUCCCGAGGCUCAACNUCGGGCCUGCAGUGGGUACGGGCAGACUAGAGUGCGGUAGGNGAGAUUGGAAUUCCUGGUGUAGCGGUGGAAUGCGCAGAUAUCAGGAGGAACACCGAUGGCGAAGGCAGAUCUCUGGGCCGUAACUGACGCUGAGGAGCGAAAGGGUGGGGAGCAAACAGGCUUAGAUACCCUGGUAGUCCACCCCGUAAACGUUGGGAACUAGUUGUGGGGACCAUUCCACGGUUUCCGUGACGCAGCUAACGCAUUAAGUUCCCCGCCUGGGGAGUACGGCCGCAAGGCUAAAACUCAAAGGAAUUGACGGGGACCCGCACAAGCGGCGGAGCAUGCGGAUUAAUUCGAUGCAACGCGAAGAACCUUACCAAGGCUUGACAUACACCAGAACACCGUAGAAAUACGGGACUCUUUGGACACUNGUGAACAGGUGGUGCAUGGUUGUCGUCAGCUCGUGUCGUGAGAUGUUGGGUUAAGUCCCGCAACGAGCGCAACCCUCGUUCUAUGUUGCCAGCACGUAAUGGUGGGAACUCAUGGGAUACUGCCGGGGUCAACUCGGAGGAAGGUGGGGAUGACGUCAAAUCAUCAUGCGGCCUUAUAUCUUGGGCUUCACGCAUGCUACAAUGGCCGGUACNAAGGGCUG
rnacentral:rRNA from 1 species